GGCUGCCGGCGCGCGGAGGUGCGGGGGCCGCGGAGGGGGCGCCGGCUUCCGCCGGAGGUGCCGGGGGCGCCGAGGCCUGGAACUACGCGGGUCCCCCGGACACAGCGCCUCUGCUGGGCCUGGCUCCAGGCCGGAGAGUCCUCCCGCCGCGCCCCGGCGCGCUCGGCCCCUCGGUGCCUACUGAGCCUUGGGCCUCAGACCAUGCCGGUGUCUGACCAAGCGUUUGUCACGCUGGCCACCAAUGACAUGUACUGCCAGGGGGCCCUGGUGCUGGGGCAGUCCCUGCGGAACCACAGGACGACCCGGAAGCUGGUGGUGCUGAUCACGCCUCAGGUAUCCAGGCUGCUCAGGGUCAUCCUCUCCAGGCUGUUUGAUGAGGUCAUUGAGGUGGACCUCACAGACAGUGCAGACUACAUCCACCUGGCCUUCCUGAAGAGACCUGAGCUCGGAGUCACCCUCACCAAGCUUCACUGCUGGACGCUCACCCAUUACAGCAAGUGUGUCUUCCUGGACGCAGACACCCUGGUGCUGUCCAACGUGGACGAGCUGUUCGCCAGGACGGAGCUCUCUGCGGCCCCCGACCCCGGCUGGCCGGACUGCUUCAACAGCGGGGUGUUUGUCUUCCGACCUUCUCUGGAGACGCACGGCCUGUUGCUGCAGCACGCCGCCGACCACGGCAGCUUCGACGGGGCAGACCAAGGCUUGUUGAACAGCUUCUUCAGUAGCUGGUCCACGGCUGAUAUCCACAAGCACCUGCCGUUCAUCUAUAACUUGAGUAGCAACACGGCGUACACCUACAGCCCUGCGUUCAAACAGUUUGGCUCUAGCGCGAAGGUGGUCCACUUCUUGGGGUCCGCGAAGCCUUGGAACUACAAGUACAACCCGCAGACCGGCUCGGUUCUAGACCAGGGCUCCGGGUCGGUCAGCCAGCACCAGACAUCCUUCCUGAACCUCUGGUGGAGGGUCUACCACCGCAGCAUCCUGCCGCUUUACGAGAGAAUCGGGCACGAGGAAGUCCACGCGUCUCCGGGACACACAACUUGCCUCACGGGCGGUGGGGUCCCGUGUGCAAAUUCGGCACCCACUGCUGACGGGAUGUGUGCAGAUUCCACUCCUGGCGCCCGGGAGCCAUGUGCAAAUUCGCCGGAGGGGUCCAGGCAGCCUUGGCCUGCUGAAGACCCUUUGGAGAGGACCAUGGUGGUGGAGGAGAGCUGUGCUUCACCUGGAGCACGCCAUUCAGAAGAUAUGAUAGGUUGGCCUGAAACUGAGACUUCCGCUGGAGUGAUGUGUGACCCCUUGUCACCAGCCUCCCCUCAGUUCGCAGACCUCACAGAGACCCAGACCAGCUCGCCGCCCGCGGAUAAAGCAGAAGGUGGCCCACGUGAGGAACCCUUGGAAGCAAGCCCAGAACGCCCUGUGGAUGCCACCAGGGACCCCAGUCCUCCGGACGCUUUGGAGGUGGACCUGGCCAUCUCUGUGUCUGAGAUUUCCAUCGAAGAAAAAGUCAAGGUGCUUAGUCCCGAGGAGCAGCGGAGGAAGUGGGAGGAGGGACGCAUCGAUUACAUGGGGAAGGACGCCUUUGCCCGCAUUCAGGAGAAGCUGGAUCGCUUUUUGCAGUGAGGUGGUAUGUGGUCACACCAUGUUCUGUUGUGUGGUCCUGUUCCAUAAACACCUCGAGCCCUUCCAAAGGGAAAGGCUCUCCAACAGUGUGCCUCUAUUGACGAUUGACCAAGUUGAGUGCCUCACCUAUAUAACAUGGUCCAUCAGAAACCCAGCUUGAAGUCCCAUGGGAUCCCAGCCACCUGUGUCUCCUGGCUUCCCUGGGAAGUCUCUUCUCUUUACAUCUUGUCCGCAGAAGGGAGCAGAAAUAAACUUCUGGUCGACUCCAGGUAAGAGUCUCUGGUCUUGCUCGAAGGAGCUCAGGGAUGCUUCCUGCGACAGAGUCUACAAUAUGUAUCCUAUGGAGGGUUAGAUGUCUCUGCAGAACGUAUGUCCCAAAGCUCAUAACACUCGUCUGUGCAUUUAGCCCCCUGGGAACCGUCCAGAAUGAAAUGUUCUUUCCUUUAAGACUAAGUAGAUGUUCAGACAUCUUGAGCGUGACUCUGGUUUAGACUUUGCAACUCAUGGCGGAGAAACACCACGGCUGUGGUUUCUCUUCCACAUAACCCAGCAGUGAUGGACUCCCCCUUUUGGACCUGCCAGAGGUGUUUGGAAGGAAGAUUCUAACUGACCUGGGAGAGGUAACCUCUUCAGAACUGGUUUACCUACUGGUUUAGAAGAACCAAGGGUUGACAGUGAGUGAUGUCUGGUGACCACGUGCUUGCGGUCACAGGAUCUGGAGAGGCUCCUUGUCUAGAGGCAGCUGCAUUCGAGGUCCAGGACUCGGGACUGCCCUUUACUGGGUCUCGCUACCUCACUUCAAGAUAACAGAUGGAGUGACUGCGUUCCCCCAAGCCAUUUCAACUCAGUUAUUUUGGGACAGUUCUCAAUUUGUGACUCUGGAUGCUUUAUUCCAGGAGAAAGCGUCAGCUUCAGACGUAUCCCAGGUCUGUGAGUUAACGCGGUAUGGUGGAACCUCUCACGGGGUCUCCCCGUGCAUGGCCGCCACAAGGAUGAUUAAAGCCAGAUGUCCGUUGCUGUACUGAAGACAAGAAAUGCGGCUUGGAAACGUUUGGACGGUUUAUUGAUCGUACAUGUCCUGUUGAAACUCAUGAGUGGACACAGGUUUGGAAGAAGGGGAGAGGGCUGUGUUUAAGCUUCAUUCGACGUGUCUGCUCCCACUGUUCACCCCCGAGCGGUUUAGCCCUCUGGGUCAGGGGAUCUGGGUGAGCUUACGACGUCACUUGUGGCCUUAGCUUGUGCGAAGUGUGAGCGACCGGGGAGGCUUUGUCUCUGGGUGUGUGGGUGGUUAACGAUCUACAGUCAUGCUUGGUUUCGCACACAGGAUGCUUCAGGGUCUAACUGGAAAUAGCCAUAGGGACAUAGCCAUUGGCAGGUUGCUGAGAUGGUCACCAGCCAUCAGGGUAAUCCCGUACACUUGUUCUGGGGAAACAACAUUGGUGCUGUGUGCCGUGGGGUUGACUGUGAGCAACAAGCUGAGACUGACAUCCACAACUGCUGGUGAGCAGCUGAGCCUGCUCCGGCUCCUCUGGAGAAGAGGGUUCAUACGCAUGGGUGGUGGCUCAUUGGCCGAAGGUGUACACUCAACACGGACUUCUGUCUUGCAUCUACGGUUCAUCCCCAGAUUGGGACGAGGGCUCGCACGUUGCAAGUAAAUUUUAGAACAGCAGUGGGGUCUCCUUCUGGUGUGUGUUUGCGUGUGGUGUUCUGAGCCAUCAGAAUAAUAUUUAUGUAAAUGUGGCUGCCUUUGUCCUGCAGUAUAUUUAAAUGGCCCACUGGGUUUUUCAGAAUUGAUAGUAGCAGUAAAGUGAGGAGAACUAUUUACUUCUUACCCUUGGAAAUCUCAUAAGGACUUUCUAGGGAAGCUGCCCAUUUUCCUAGCAUUGGCUUCUCAGCCCCCAUCCAUCCAUCCAUUCACCCACCCAUCCAUCCACUCAUCCGUCCAUCCAUCCAUCCAUCCACCUAUUCAUCCACCCAUCCAUCCACUCAUUCAUCCACCCAUCCAUCUGUCCACCCAUCCACCCACCCACCUAUCCACCCACUCAUCCAUCAUCCCUCCAUCCAUUCACCCAUCCAUCCAUUCACCCGUCCAUCCACUCAUCCAUCCAUCCAACCAUUCAUCCGUCCAUCCAUCCACCUAUUCAUCCACCCAUCCAUCCACUCACCCAUCCACUCAUUCAUCCACCCAUCCAUCUGUCCACCCAUCCACCCACCCACCUAUCCACCCACUCAUCCAUCAUCCCUCCAUCCAUUCACCCAUCCAUCCACUCAUCCAUCCAUCCAACCAUCCAUUCACCCAUCCAUCCACUCAUCCAUCCAUCCAUCCAUCCAUUCACCCAUCCAUCCACUCAUCCAUCCAUCCAACCAUCCAUUCACCCAUCCAUCCACUCAUCCAUCCAUCCAACCAUCCAUUCACCCAUCCAUCCACUCAUCCAUCCAUCCAACCAUUCAUCCGUCCAUCCAUCCAUCCAUCCACCUAUUCAUCCACCCAUACUUCCAUCCAUCCAUCUAUCCAUCCACCCAUCCAUCCACUCACCCAUCCACUCAUUCAUCCACCCAUCCAUCUGUCCACCCCUCCACCCACCCACCUAUCCACCCACUCAUCCAUCAUCCCUCCAUCCAUUCACCCAUCCAUCCAUUCACCCGUCCAUCCACCCAUCCACCCAUCCUUCCAUCCAUCUCCCCAUCCACAUGGUUGUUGAGUUCUCUCUAAAUGGCAGUCAGUGUGACAUGUCCUCAGUCAAUACAUGGAAACAUAGGAGAACCUUCAAGAACAUUUUAAGGACUUCUAAAUAGCACCCCUCAAAAAGGUACAAUCCUGUGUUAGUUCCUGCAGAAUCCCAGUCCCAGAGCCCAUGCUGUGUAAUGAGUACAGAAUUAUCUAAGUCGAAUCCCUGAGAGAGAUGAUUCGACCUAUACUAUCACUAAUGUUUUGGUACACAGAAAGCAUUUUUUUUAAUUUAAUUGUUCUAGAAAUAGUACCAGUUAUUCUUGGCCAGGAUGAGAUGGCAUGGGGAGAAAACACGUUUCCGUAUGUGCUGACGCGGUCAGGUGGAUUAAGAUGUGUAGAUUUAGAUGAGCGCAAUACGACAUUUUUGUUCCUCCAAGUGGCUUGGUCUGAACCCGCUGACACCGCCGCCGUCUGGGGCUGGAACGCGCAUGGGUUGUCCCAGUGCUAACGAGUUUUGGUUUGGAAUUGCCAACUCGUUGGAGGAAAAUGGAGUUUCCUGUAGCUAUGACACCUGACUUGGGAAAGGUAGAUGAGUUCUCCUUUCUGAGUUCCUAGCUCUCUACUCUCUAGCACACAGUGCAAUUUGUUCUUAGUGCCUUAUGCUUGGAAACUGGAUGUUUCAUACACCAAGUCUUCCCAUCAUUCUGAGAAACAAAACUGGAAUAUUUUCUUGGCACAGACCACAUCUGUUGAAAGACUUUGCUGCAGCGCCAAAUUAGACCUAGGACGUGAAAUAUAUUUUGCAGAUAAAACACAUCCUCUUUUUCUUUCUUUAAAUUGAAGUACAGUCAGUUACAGUGUGUCAAUUUUUGGUGCACAGUGUCCCAGUCAUGCAUAUACAUACAUAUAUUUGUUUUCAUCUUCUUUUUCAUUAAAAGUUAUUAUAACAUACUGAAUAUAGUUCCCUGUGCUGUGCAGAAGAACUUUGUUUUUAAUCUAUUUUUAUAUAGAGUGGCUAACAUUUGCAAAUCUCUACUCCCAAAUUUAUCCCUUCCCACCCCUUUCCACCAGUAAACAUGGUUGUUCACUACGUCUGCGCGUCUGUUUCUGUUUUGUAGAUGAGUUUAUAAUGCCCCAUUUUUUAAGAUUCCACAUAUAAGUGAUAUUAUGUGAUAUUUGUCUUUCUGUGUCUGACUGACUUCACUUAGUAUGACGAUCUCUGGGUCCAUCCAUGUUGCUGCCAGUGGCAUAAUUUCACUCUUUUUUACGGCUGAGUAGUAUUCCAUUGUAUAAAUAUAACAGAAUGUCUUUAUCCAGUCAUCUGUGGAUGGACAUUUAGGUUGUUUCACCGUCUUGGCUAUUGUAAAUAGUGCUGCUGUGAAUAUUGGGGUGUUUGUAGCAGAAACACAUCUUCUUUUAAGUUCAGGAGCCAAAAAAUAUACCAGUGGUAUCUUGAAGACAGCACGGAUUGUUAACCAAGAUGAUGAACAGAAAGAAUCAGUAUGUUUAAUAUAAUCAGAUCAUCUGGGAAUACACUAUAGACCCCUCUGAAAUAUUUGAGGCUCCCCUGGCAUUUCUGGGUUACACAAAAUUUACUUCCCCACAGAAGUUCAGUACCAUCUCAUCAGCAAGAGACUCUUUGCCCGGCGGGAUGUACACCAUCAUCUCUUUCUUGGAUUCCUCUCUUCCUUACUGGCUCCUGGCCUGACGCAGCCCUCAUGACUGGGUUUCCCUGGCCUCCAUCCAAGGAGAACACAGACGUUGAAUUUGUUUUUGCAUUCGAGUGGGUUUCUUCUGCGGUUGCGGUUGGAGUGAAGGAACAAAGGCUUCCCAGAAUUUAGAGCAGAGAGUCUGCAGAGCGUCUGGAAAGAGCCAGGCUUGUUUGUGGGUGUUCUUUUCGCGUGGGGGGCAGGGAGCUGGUUAUGGGUGGCUGGUAAAGAAGCCCGCUGGGGCAUCGCGUCCUUGACUAGACCUCACAGGGUAUCACAGACACCAGGUCUCCUGCUUAGGGAGUCUCUGGUGGCUUUGUGAGUCUGGCAGGGGGGCGGUCCUGCAAGCGGUCUCGGAGGGCUGGCUGCUACCUGUGGUCCCCUGUCAGCACCGCAACUGCGUCUCCAUCCUUGCUUUCCUUUCCCGUGGCUGACACCUUCACCCCCAAGCUGACGUCUGCUUGGUGUCUCUCCUUGGCCCCCUACAGGGAGGCGGCCCCUGCUUCCCUACCUAGCAUCUGACCGUUUAUGUCAGGCAGGCUGACCUCUGACACGGGCUGAUUGGAACACUGGAUAUUCUCAGUGCGGUGAGGAAGCGUUUGGGGUUUCCUUGCCGAUGGCACGGGGUCCUGUCUCCCAGUCGGGCGUCUGUGUUCCGGCCACCAGAACUCGCCCAGAUGGCGUCAGCAGGAUGAAGAAUGUGUGGUGAGCCCACGUCGGCGGCCAUCCAGAGAUAAAGGGGCAGCUGAGGAGCUGAUGUGGGGAAGAGGCAAGACCUGGAGCCGCGUGUGGGAGCCACAGGGUGGUUUUCUCUGCCCCACCCAAUCUGGACCAGGUCCCCUUUGGUGCCCUUCGGCUCCAGAAGGCAGAAUAUCUUUUUUUUUCUCUAUUAAAGUAUAGUCAGUUACAGUGUGUCAAUUUCUGGUGCACAACAUCAUAUCCCAGUCAUGCAUAUACAUGCAUAUAUUCCUUUUCGUAUUCUUUUUCAUUGUAGGUUACUGCAAGAUACUGAAUAGAGUUGCCAGUGCUGCACAGUAUGAAUUUUUUCUUUAUCUGUUUUCCACGUCGUAGUUAGUGGCUGCAAAUCUCGAACUCCCAAUUUAUCCCUUCCCACCCCGUUUCACCCUGGUUACCAUAAAUUUGUUUUCUGUCUGUGAGUCUGUUUCUGUUUUGUAAAUAAGUUCAUCUGAGUAUUUUUUUUAAUAAUUAGUUUAAUUUUUUAUUGAAGUACAGUCAGUUUACAGCGUUGUAUCCAUUUCUGGUGCACAGCAUCAUGGUUCAGUCAUACAUGUACAUGUGUAUAUUUGUUUUCCUAUUCUUUUUCAUUACAGGUUAUUACAAGGUAUUGAAUAUAGUUCCCUGUGCUCUACAGUAGGACCUUGUUGUUUAUUUUUUUAUAUACAAACUUCUCUUUUUAAUCACCCUCAGAACAAAAAAAAAGGACGAGUGUUCUGAUUUCUCCACAUUCUCACCAGCACUUGUCCUAGUGUAUUUUGAUUUUUGUUCUCGCCAUCGGGUGGGUGUGCAGCAACCUCCCACUGUGGUUUCCGGUUGCAUUUCUCUGAUCGCUAGUGAUGCUGAGCAUCUUUGCAUGUACGGAAUACCCAUUCCUGUCACCUUUAGUAAAGUGGCCAUUUACCUCUUCAGCCCAUUUAUUAGAUCAUUUGCCUUAUUACGGAGUUGCAUGCAUUUGCAAAUAUUCUCUCCCAGUCGGCAACUGCUCUUUUCAUUUUCUUAACGGUCUCUUUGAAAUGUGAUAAAUGCUCAUGUAUCUUUUUUUUUUUUUUUUUAAAUAGGCAUUCCGUGUCUUAUCUAGAAAAUCUCUUCCUAGCUCCAGAGGGCAAAGAUUUUCUCCUAAGUUUCCUUCAGAAAGUUUUGUGCAGGUCUCUGGUGGAUUUUGAGUUCAUUUUCGUGUUGUGGUGUGAGCUGAGGGUCUAAAUUUGUCUUUUUGCACGUGGCUAUCCAAUCGUGUCAGCACCGUCUACUGAGCCCUCCACUGGAUUUUUUUAACAGCAUGAUAAAUUUUAUUUUAUUUUAUUUUAUUUUAUUUUAUUUUAUUUUAUUUUAUUUUAUUUUAUUUUAUUUUAAUGGAAGUAGAGUUGAUUUACAGUGUUGUGUUACUUUCUGGGGUAACAGCAUAGUGACUCAGGUAUACAUAUAAAAAUACUCUUUUUCAGAUUCUUUCCCAUGAUAGGUUAGUACAGGAUGUUGAAUAGAGUUCCCUCUGCUGCACAGUAGGACCUUGUUAUUUAUCUAUUUUAUACAUAGGAGUGUGUAUCUGCAAAUCUCAAACUCGGAAUUUGUCCCUCCCCCACCCUUUCUACUUUGGUAACCAUCAGUUUGUUUUGUGUGUCUUUGAGUCUGUUUCUGUUUUGUAAAUAAGUUCAUUGCAUCAUUUUUUUUUUUAGAUUCCACAUGUGAGAUUAUAUGAUAUUUGGUCCUUCUCUGUCUGACUUACUUCACUUAGAAUAACGAUCUCUAGGUCCAUCUGUGUUGCUGCAAAUGGCAUGAUUUUAUUGUUUUUCAUGGCUGAGUAGUAUUCCACUGUAUAAAUAUACCACAGAUUCUUCAUCCAGUCAUCAGUCGAUGGACAUUUAGGUUGUUUCCAUGUCUUGGCUGUUGUAAAUAGUGCUGCUAUGAACAUGGGAUGCAUGUGUCUUUUUGAGUUAAGUUUCCCUCCAGAUACAUGCCCAGGAGUGGGAUUGCUGGAUCAUAGGAUAAGUCUAUUUUCAGUCUUUUGAGGAACCUCCAUACUGUUUUCCACAGUGGCCACACCAAACUGCAUUCCCACCAGCAGUGUAGGAGGGCUCCCUUUUCUCCACAGCCUCUGCAGCAUUUGUCAUUUGAGGACUUUUCAAUGAUGGCCAUUCUGACUGCUGUGAGGUGAUACGCCAUGGCAGCUUUGAUUUGCUUUUCUCUGAUAUUUAGCAAUGUUGAGCAUCUUUCCAUGUGCCUGUUGUCCACCUGUUUGCCUCCUUUGCAAAAAAUGUCUGGUUCGGUCUUCUGCCCAUUGGGUUUGUUUCCUUUCUUGUUAUUGCGUGGGACGGGCUGUUUGUAUGUUGUGGAAGUUAAGCCCUGCCCUUGGAUGUUUAAUAGGCUGGUAUGUGGGGCCAGGCCAAGAGGACUGUGUUUUCCUCUCUGCGAAGUUUGCCUUGUUCGGGUAGCUGAGUGGAUUCCCUGGACCCACAGAGCAUACUUACCCUUUCACAGAGCUUUUAUUCAGAGGCAGAGGAGCCGAGGCAGGAAGACAAAGGAGCAGGCAGGCCAGCACCGUGGGGGAGGCGGACAGAAACAGCCCAAGCAAAGUCCUCCACUGCUCCACUGCUCUGUCCCCGGGGCUGUCGGGGAGGGGAACUGGGUUUCCAGGUGACUCAGGCAUACAUGAGAGGGCAGGGGUCAGUCAUGCCUCUGUGGCCACCUAGUUAGGGCAGCGGGCCUAACUGGUUAGGCCAGUCGUAAACAGGCAAAUUCUAAGAAACAGAGCCUGCGGUAGAGAGGGAGACUCGUGAACCUUCACCAGAACAUCGUAAACCUCCCUGCGCUUAUCUUGGCCAAGAGUCCAAGACCAGACUUGCAGGCUUCCCGGAGACACAGAGUUUGCUUCCAACAAGGCGUACAGCAACUCUGUCCCCCGACUCCUGGGGGCCCCCAGCUGACCGGCUGGCCACAGUCCUGGCUCUCUGGCAGUCUGCAGGGAGCACCCUGUCUCCUGGGUUUUUAAUUUUUUUUUUCCCUACUUCCCCUCCAACUCAGCCACCUGCUGAGAAAAAUGCCUAUUUUCCUCAGAUUCAGUUUUGCAACAUGUUACCAGGGAACUGCCCCCAAAUAAAAGCCGUAUGAUUUGAACACUGAGCCCGUUCCGUGAGAAGAAAGAGGUUUGACUUAUGAUGAGCAGAACUCACAAGGGGGCAUCUAGGAGCUUUGUAAAGGAUGCAAAAAAAAAAAGUGCCCAAGAUUUCCUGCAGAGAUUUAAAAAGAUCAGGGGAGCCAGCUCGAACUCUAAAUUGGAAGCAAAGCUGUUUGCAUUGUUGGUUUUUUAUAGGUGGGACGAAACUUGGGGUUUUUAAACAAGAAAACAGAAGAAGGGUGUUCAAGUCUGUUUAUUUAUACUAUAGGGUUUUUUUUUUUUUUCUUUUGUGCAUGUUCUCUGGGUGGGGAAUGUGCGGAUCUCUGAAAACAGAGAGAAACAUAUUUCAUUCUUGUCUGCGGUGGCCCCUGGUUCCCGGGGACGUAUGAUAGAUUUAAAAGGCUAGCAAACACGGGACUGUCCCCUAAUAGACGUGUGGGGUGCUGCGGGGUGUCAGGUCAGGGCUGAGGGACUCCGGCUGGGGACGGACCUUAACGUGAAGCCUGUCACGUGUCACCCUCCCUACUGUCACCUUCUCUGAUGGGCUUCUGUCCGUCCCAAGACGUGUAAACCAUCCACGCAGGGAGGGUGCGUUCCUCAGGGACCGGGCUUUCCCAUACUCACGGCUGCAGAGCAGAGCGUCAAAGCAAGCGGAGAAUCUUCACCCCAAGAGCAGGUACGGAGUCAGUCUCCCAGCCUCGCUGUCCCCACAGCGCGAACCGGGGACCCAGGGCAGAUGCCUUCAGGAUGUGUGUAAGGAGGGUCCUCCUACUGACGUAACAAAUCCCCAUGACUUAGUGGCCCCCGAACAGCACAGGAUUAUUAUCUCAACGGUUCUAGAUGUCAGACGUCUGACUUGGGUCUCACUGGGCUAAAAUCAAGGUGUCACCACGCCUCCUUCAUUGCCUGUGUCAGAUGGACAAGCCACAGGGGUGGGGCUGUGCACGACACGGGCUGGAACUGAUUUACAGAAGGUGCUGGUCAGGUUGCAGGUAUUCAGAGAAUGUAAGCUGCCAGCCCUCUAAGUGCUGGAAGGCUGCUACACCUGGCCCUGCGCCCGCGGUUAAAAUGUUCCCUCCAGACACUGCCUGCUCAUUGGACCAUCGUUUGCUAAGUAAGUCUUUUACUUGAGCCAUAAAAGGCGGCAUCAGAAAGCUUGCUCAGGUCCAUAAAGGUUCUCUCACCUUUGUGUUGAAGGGCCUAAGCCUGGUUUUGUUCAGGGCAGCCCACCUGAAAGGGUGCCUUUCUCGAUUUCCAGUUGUUUCUAUGGAUGACUCUUGAGGGUAGGAGUUGUGGCUUCAGGCAUCUGGAUCAUCCCCUUCAGAGGCUGACUCAACUGAGAGCAAUGCCCUUUCUGCUCCCAUUCCUUCCUCCUCUCUGCUGCCUGGAUUGCCUGUGUGUUGCCUGGUGCAGCGGCAACCAUGUUGCGACCACGAGGCAAAGGACGGUAGCCUUCCAGGGAGUUGGAAAGGGGCUGCCAGCCCUGGAUUGAUUCCCUCAGAUUAGCUGGGAGAUAACACACCCCUCUCUGGUUGACACCAUUUUUAUUCCUGGUGUCUGUUACUAGCGGCUCAAAGAAGUGAAGCCACUACGGGCAGUGGUCCUAAUGUGUGGGGUUGAGACCACCGUUUGAGAUCAGACGUACAGGAGCAGACACAGAACUCUUUUAUCUUUUCUCUGUUACCUUCAAAGAGUAGGUGUAAAUACUUCUAUGUGCCAUUUUGUAGGGCUGUUCACGGAGGCACUGAAAUUCCAAGCAGGCUUUAAGAUUGAUGGGUAGAGAAAUUGGACACUGGCACUAGGGUACCCCCUGAGCUUCGGAGGAGGACUAGAAACAGCAUUGUUUGGGUGUCCACUGUGAUCCUUUUGUUCCAUAGAUGAGAAAUCUUAACAGCCGCUCCCUGGCCACAUCAUGCCUCUCAAGAAAGGGCAACUUAAGCGAGGACCAAGGUUGUAGACUUUUUUUUUUCAGUCCAGUUACUGUCUCCGGGGUCCUCUCACAAUCCUGGCUGUCACGGGAGCUGUCCCUGUCUUUUUUAAACAUUGAUUUCCCAGAUUUGUUGAGGUAGACUUGAUACAUAAAAUUGUAUAUAUUUAAGGUACAAGGUGAUGGUUUGAUACAUGUAUACGCUGUGAAAUGAUCACAUCAAGUUCACGCACACAGCCAUCACGUCAUACAGUUGCCGUUUUUGUGUGUCUGGUGAGAAUGCUUCAGAUCUCCUGUCUGAGCAAAUUUCAACUACAUAAUACGUUUUUAUUAACUGUGGUCACUGUGCUGUAUCUUCAAUGCCAAGAAUGUGUUCAUCUUAUGGCUGGAAGUGUGUCCACUUGGACGGUGUCCCCAGCUCCCUCACCUCCCCAUCUGUGGCAACCACCAAUCAACACUCUGCAUCUAUGACUUCGUUUUUUGUUUUUGUUUUUUAAGAUUCCACAUAUAAGUGAGAUCAUACAAUAUUUGUCUUUCUCUGGCUGACUUAUUUCACUUAGCAUAACACCCUCAAGGUCCACCUAUGCUGUUACAAAUGGUAAGACUUCCUUUUCAUGGCUGAAUAAUAUUCCAUGGUGUGUAUAUACAUCUACCUACCUAUCUAUCCAUCUACCCAUCCAUCAUAUCAUUUCUAUUUAUCCAUCUAUCCAUCCAUCCAUCUAAUCAAUCUAUAUUCAUCCAUCUAUCCAUUGUAUCAUAUCUAUCUACCCAUUUGUCUGUCUGUCUGUCUGUCUAUCUAUACAUAUUUAUCAAUUUUCUUUAUCCGUUUAUCCACUGAUAUGACUCUUAGGUUGUUUCCAUGUCUUGGCUAUUGUAAAUAACGCUACAACAAACACAGGGGUGCAGAUAAGUCUUCAAUAUCCUGUUUUCAUCUCCUUCAGAUAAAUACCCAGAUGUGGAAUCGCUGGACCACACGAGAGUUCCAUUUUUAUUUUUGACCCCCUCCCCAUGGUUUCCCACAGUGGCUGCACCAGUCUACAUUCCCAACAAGAGUGCUCAAGUUCCAUCUUCUCCACGUCCCGCUCCACGGCUCUCAUCUCCUGUCCUUUUGCUGAGAGCCCUGCGGACGGGGCAGAUCACAUCGCCCUGGGGUCUCACUCCUGGCUGCAGGAGCACAAGGGGAAGGUUCCACAGCAUGGCUGCAGCCAUGGCUUCCACACGAUGUUCCCCAGAGAGAACUGAGGGGGCACGGGGCUCAGGGUCUCCCUGUGCGCCUCCACCGCCUGGCCCACCCUGGCCACCACCGCAUGGUACAGGGGCUCAGAGCCGGGGGACAGGGGCCGUGCCUCCGAGGGGUCUCUGGAGAGGUCGAAGAGCAGAGGGGGGUCAUGGUGGGUCACCCCCUCCCCAGAGCAGGGGCACACACUUCGCCCGUAGCAGGCCCCCGCUCCCUGGGGGUGGAACCGUGGCGUGACGUAAUGGACUUUCCAGAGUCUUCCACCUGAAUGCAGACACGGGGUCGGUCAGGGCAGGAGAAACCUGCUAACUGAACACCCAACCAGGUGCCUGCACUGGGGAGUCCAACGUCCCAUGUCCAGCAAAAAGAGGACAGAGAGGAGGACACGGCAGAUUGUGUAAGUCUGACCUCACUGCUGUCAAAUCAGUGUGUAUGUAUGUGUGUGUGUCUAUGUGUGUCUGCGCAUGUGUGUGUGUGUGUGUGUGUGUGUGUGUAUGCUGUUCUCCAGGGACGGACAAGCAAAGGGACUCAUUCCAAGGUGCUCAGGGGGCUCUGUGUGGGGGUUAGACCUACAGAUGCCCUUAGAACGUCCUUACCCUGCCUCCCUAUUUUUAAGUGCUUGGUGCCCCCGUAUUACUUUUAUAAACAGAAGCAGGAAGGCCAUCUCAGCAGUCUGCCUGGCAAGGUCUUGCUGUGUGCUGAAGGGGCUCAUGGGGAUUCAUGUCAGAUAAUAAACCCAGUGAGAGGGCGCCACAGACUGGAGCCCACAAGUCCCUUCCUUCACGAUGGGGUCAGCACCAGCCAGCAUCCUUCUUGACAUACCAAGCAACUCUUUUCGUCUUGUAAGAAAGGGAUUGGCUCUGUGAGGACGAAUGUCACGUGUCAACAGGGCCAGUGUCAGGUGGCCAGAUACAUGGUCAGAUACUAGUCUACAUAGCACCUCGAAGGUGUUUUUUAAGAUGAGAGUAACAUGGAAAUCUGUAGAUGGGGAGUUAAGCAGAUUGCCCACCAAGGUGGGGGUGGGCCUCAGCCAAUCAGUUGAAGGACUUAAAAAAAAAAUACAGAGGUUUCCCAAGGAAGAAGGAAUUCUGCCUCCAGACUCCAGCACAGAAAUUCUGCCUGAGUCUCCAGGCUUUGGAGUCAAAAAGCCAACAUCAACUCCUGCCAGGCUGCCAUGAAGAUUACAGACUUGCCACACACACCCCCCCAGCCCAGCCAUGUUUUUCCCCCCUCCAACGUGGAAGAGGAAGGGGAGCCGUCUCAGGAAUUAGGGAGGAGGUGGUCUCAUCCCCCACGUACCUGUCCUGGGGCACCUGGCCGCCCCCCAGCUGGACCACGGUGGGGAAGACGUCCAUCAGGCUGGUGGGCUCGUGGACCACUCGGCCGGCCGGCAGCACCCCGGGCCACCGGAAGAUCCCCGGGACGCGGAUCCCGCCUUCCCAGCCGCCCAUGCCUUUGCCACCUGGAAGUCAACGACAUCAUGAGGGUUCCCCAGGAGAUGGCCCCGUCUACAAACACACCUGGGUGCACCUGGGUGCACGCGUCUAUACACAGACACCCACAUCUACAGACGCACAGGGUGGCAGCCUGGAGGUCCCCAGAAUGGCUGCAACCAGACUUGUCCCUUCCCCACCAGUAGGGGGUGCCCGUUUCUCCUUGUGAAAUUUGGUGGGUCUUUGUAGCCACUUCAAUAAGUGGGAGGUGGCAGGUGUGACUUCAGAGGCAGAAGUGGUGCUGGGACUUCAUACCCAUGGACUAGGAGGCUGCCCUUACCCCGAGACUUCCUCUUUGGGGGUGGAGGGACUGGGAGCUGGGUCUGGGAACCUUCCGUCUCUCCUAGCUCAUCGCACCUCCCGCCUGUUUCUGAACCGACCCCUUCUUCAUUUCUAAGGUGACCCUCCCAGGGACCCCUGGUAAUGGGUUGGGACCCAGACUCGCUCUUGAAGAAAUCCAAGUCAUUAGGCAUAAGGCAAUGUGUUCAUACCGCCUAGGACCUCUGGGUGAAGCAAUCAGGAAUUCCAGCGGGAGAGUUUUAAACAAGGAGAGACGUGUUCACAGUCUCACUCGGGCGCCGCUGCUUUCCUGGGGUGCACAUGGUAACCCUGUUGCAUUUUCACCUUCUGCGGCUGCAUAGGAAGUCACUGCAAGGUCCACGGCUUACACCACCACCCAGUUGUGCGGUGUCAGCUGUGCAGGGGGGAAGUCUGCCGUGGCGUGGCUGUGUGGUCUCCUCUGGGGUCACGCAGUCUGGAGUCAAGGUGUCGUUGGCAGACUAUAAUGCUGUAGGGUACAACUGCCGGGAACGAUCCAAUUCAGCUACACGUGAGCCUCUUACAUCUUGGGGAUGUAACUGGCGGAUGGGAGGAAGGAUUCACAUCCAAGUUCGUUCAGUUGUAGGAAAAAUCCAGCUCCCUGUGGCUGUAGGACUGAGGUCCCCAUUACAUCCUCGGGCUGUAUGUGGCGGAUGGGAGGAAGGAUUCACAUCCAAGUUUGUUCAGUUGUUGGAAAAAUCCAGCUCAUUGUGGUUGUAGGACUCAGAUCCCCGUUUCCAUGCUGAAGAGGGCACCGUCAGCUUCCCCGGGCUGCCUGCAUUUCUUCUCAGGGACGUGGUCCCUCCAUCUUGAAAGCAUCAACAGUUUGUUGAGCUCUUCUCAUGAUUCACCUCUGUCUGACUUUUCCUUUUCCAUUAGCCAGAGAAAGCUCUCUGGCUUUAAGGGUUCAUAGCGUUAGGCCAGACCCACCAGGACAUUCCUCCUACCAGCCUAGAGGACAGCUGUGCUGUGUUACACAGUGCCAUCAUGGGAGUGCUAUCUCGUCACAGUCACAGAGGCCAGGGGGCGGGGAGGAACAUUUUUAUCUUCAUUAUUCAUUUGUACAUCUCCCUCUUCUACUGAAAUGCAAACCUUUUAAAGAAGGGCAUGCCUUUUUACCCCUCUUGGCACCGAGAAUGUGAAUGCAUAGCAGGUGCUCAAGAGUUCCCUUGGACUAAGGCUCAAGGAUACAUUGUACAACACAGCGAACGUCACCAAUAUUUCAUAGUAACUUUAAAUGGUGUAUGAGCUAUUGAAAGUAUUGAACCACGAUGGUGUACACCUGAGACUAAUAUAAUGUUGUAAAUCGACUAUACUUAAAAAAAAUUCCCUUCGAUAGAGCAUCUUCUUUUUCACUUCUACUUGGUCACCAACAUUCCCUGCUGGAAGUCAUUUCCUCCAUCACACAAUCUGUCCUUGAGCCCCAACGCCCAUCGCUCUUACCUCUGUAUAUGCCAUUCCAUCCGCCCAGCUGGCUGUGUUCAUCUCUUGCCUCCAAAUGUCCUCCGUGAUCAGAGGUAAAGUACGUGAGCGUCUUGUUUUUCAAACCGUGUUCUUCGACGGCAUUGAGAAUUUCCCCUUUGCAAAAAAUGGAACAUUCCAGAGCAACGUAAAUAAAACCACAUUGGUGAAUUCCACAUAA